GACGAACGCUGGCGGCGUGCUUAACACAUGCAAGUCGAACGAUGAAGCCCAGCUUGCUGGGUGGAAGAGUGGCGAACGGGUGAGUAACACGUGAGUAACCUGCCCUGAACUCUGGGAUAAGCACUGGAAACGGUGUCUAAUACUGGAUACGACCUAUCACCGCAUGGUGUGUGGGUGGAAAGAUUUAUCGGUUCUGGAUGGACUCGCGGCCUAUCAGCUAGAUGGUGAGGUAAUGGCUCACCAUGGCGACGACGGGUAGCCGGCCUGAGAGGGUGACCGGCCACACUGGGACUGAGACACGGCCCAGACUCCUACGGGAGGCAGCAGUGGGGAAUAUUGCACAAUGGGCGCAAGCCUAAUGCAGCAACGCCGCGUGAGGGAUGACGGCCUUCGGGUUGUAAACCUCUUUUAGUAGGGAAGAAGCGAAAGUGACGGUACCUGCAGAAAAAGCACCGGCUAACUACGUG
rnacentral:rRNA from 1 species